CCAAAGGCUCUUUUAACAGCCACACAAAUAAUAUUAAAAUAGCAU
rfam:Myotis davidii contig128228, whole genome shotgun sequence.